ACUAAUGUAAAAUUCAAAAAUAUGAGGCAAACUUCUCAAACUAAAGUCAGUCGAUUUUAUAAAUAUUAAAUAGGCACACGAUUAUUAUUAUUUUUUGUGGGAUACACACAUUAUUAUUUAAUAAUAAUAAUAUAAUGAAUAAAUCUGCAAUAUAUAUAUAAUAAUUAAUAUAAGAAACAAUUUGAAACUUUCCACAAAAAAAAAA
rnacentral:lncRNA from 1 species